CAGGGAGAGCCGCGAACAUUGAUCCCGCGCGGUGAGGAUGGGGGAGCUGUGAGGCUGAAUUCAUUAAAGUCUGGGAAGAUGCUGGGUGCAAGGUGCUGGGGAAGGGCAGAGGGUCGUGAUUACGCCAAGAGGUAAAGGCUCAGCGGAUACAGCAACGAGAUCAAUGAACGCCCCGCAGUGUGCUGUGGAAUCAAAUCCAUGGUUCCAGCCCAAGGACACAGGAGCCCAGAGACGCUUGCUCUCUAAUUAGAUGUGCAGCUUCAGGAGCAAUAAGAUUUUCCAGCUGCCGGAUCCAGGCCCCCACGGCUGGGCCUGGGUUCCCAUCUCUCACACACACACGUUCCAGCCAGAUGCAAGCAGCCUCUGAGAUGAACCCCAGCACAGACACCCCCACGGCUUCCCAGCCAGAAGGCAUUUGCUGCAGACAUCAGCACAGCCAAGCCUCCUCAGAGACACAUAGGUGGGGGCUGGCGGGCAGCCCAUCUGUGUGGGCCUAAGAUGGCACAGCAGCUGCUCAGGAUGCCAGCAGAGACUCACAAAACACAUUGUGUGUGUGGGGGGGGAUUCCCCUCCCACCGUCUCCCGCUUGCGUGGACAGGAAAAACGCAAUUCAACAUACUAUAACCAUGUACUGGAACCAUCAGAACCCAGCCCCUCCUCCCCAGCAUGUUUAUAGCAUGGUCUGUGCUGUCCACCUAGCCGGGGACAAUUCAAAUCAGAACAUAGCUGAGCCCCACCAGGGUUUAAAUCUAGUGAUUUCUUGCAGUGUAGACGGGACCUGCGGACCCAGCUCCCUCGGUACUCGUAUGGCCCAUAGCACAGCAUUCCCGGCAUGCCUCACUGGUGGAUUUUUAUCCUGAGUCAGGGAAGGAUUGGCACCCUGGGGAGCUGAGGCAGGAGGCAGAACAUGUGAUUUGCCCACGGUCCGACAGGAGGUCUGUGACUCAGCGAGGAAUGGCCCCCCAGACUCCCAGGCCAGGCCAGUGCCCAUCCCACUAACCCACCCCCUUCCUACACACACAGAGAUGGCAAAGACCCCUUAGGCCAUCAGAGCUAGGGCAGGAGGAGACCCCUGAUAUGGAGGGGCCUUGCCCAGAGCGUGAGGUGUGGAGUCAGGAACUCGGAGUUAGUUGGGGCUGGUCCUGCUUUGAGCAGGGGGUUGGACUAAACACCUCCUGAGAUCUCUACCAAUCCUAAUCCUCUAUGGCUCUAUGAACUCCUGGGUCCCACUCCCAGCCUUGGCUUGCUGGGUAAUGCCAUGCCUCUGUUUUGCCUUCUGUGAAAUGGGAGUAAAACUCCUCCCUGCCCUGUGGUGGGGAGAGUGAAGUGCUUCAGGAUCCAUGGCUAGCAGGGCAAUGGAAGGAGUGUCAUUCUGCACAGAGGCUUAGGCAGAUUGUCCCCGCCCUGCUCAUCUGCAGCCUGGUGGCCUAAGGCGCAGCAGGAAAAGCUGCAGGCUAGUGAGGGGAAAGGGGCAGCAUGGGUCAGGGCUAACAGGGGACAGGAGAAGAAUGAGAACAGGACUCCUGUAAAUUGCACUUAGCCGGGUUAGUUCUGCUGGCAGCUGCCCUGGCCCUGUGGUGCAGAAUGGACCGAUUCUCCCAGAGCAAAUCAAUGCCCAAGGAGAUGAAGGAGGGGAACGCUGGGGAGGGGAUGCGUGUCUGCCAUAAGAAAGGCUUUGGGGAAGGAAGCUGCUUUGUGCCCCAGCAGGCUCGGGGCGGGGCUGCAGCAGCUGCCUGGGCCGGCAGCACAUUGAUGGGUCUCAGCAGAAUGAGUCAAGCCCUUUGUAUCCUUUUCAACACGCCUGUCACAGCGGGCAGAUGGGACCCUUCGUACCAUUGCUCUGCUUGGCGGGGGAGGCUGCACGGGGACCAAGCGUGUUGACCCUGCGUGUCUGUGCGCCUGCCGGGGGUGCAUGGAGAUGGGCUCCGAGAGGAACGCCCGCCGUGCGGUGGUUUCUGUGCAUGCAGCGUAUAGUGCUACUGGACAGGGCUGGCAUUCAGCUUUGCCAGCCCUUCCCAUAUGGGGCUAUCGCCCUGAUCCAAAUCCCACUGAAGUCAAGAAAAGCCCCCCAGUGGGGCUGGUCAGGCCUCAGAUGAUACCUUGCCGGGCAGGUCUCAGCCAAGACGACCCAUUUUUCGUCACACAAUUUGAGAAGCAAAAGGGAUUUGUUUGUUGCUGAGUCUAAAACAAAAGGCUCCUCACCACUGGACACACUGUACAAAACAUAUCGCAUUUGGAAAACCCCUGAGAAG